CGUGGCUGCAGUCGAAACUGUGUACAACUGAAUGAACUUAAUAUUUUGACUCCAAAAGAUGACGGAAAACGGCACCUUGAGCAUCUUUUGCCGUUGAGUACAUUUCUUCUCUUGUUUGAUGGUGUUUGGAUGGAAUAAAUGAUGUCACGGCAGCUGAAAAACUCAGAAAUGGAACCAUGCGUUACACCGACACUCAAAUGAGUUGCUUCAGAUGAGAUAAAGAGUACAAUGCACAAACAAAGGAACAAAGAGAAUUGACCACCUCAGCAGUGUAUUAGAAAGUGGUAUGUAGUUAUUCAGGUAUCACCUUGUCAUAUUGAAACAGCCAAUAAUUGGAAGAAACCCUCUCUAAGAGCAAAAUGAAAGUGGCUGUUGUUCAGGUGGAAUGUCUUCCCUACUUCAAUCAAGCUCAACUCAGAGGUAUUGUGGGGGAAAAAUUUUCCCUUGAGGACUGCAUUCGUGGAGGAAUUGUUAGUGUUGUCAACGUGGAUUGAAAGUUUCAAGCUCAUAGAGUUGAUGUUGUGAUUACAGUGUCGAGAGCGUCAAGAUGGUUUCAUAACAAGGAACAUAGACGAACAGGAAGUUGAUAAAAGAAGGAGAGCAGGACGUGUACAUUUACUUCGAGUUCAUUUACUCUGACACUACCACAUUAGAGUAGGAGACAGUUUUCGUAGAAAAUAAA